rnacentral:rRNA from 1 species
ACGGGGGGGCAAGCGUUGUUCGGAAUUACUGGGCGUAAAGGGCUCGUAGGCGGCCAACUAAGUCAGUUGUGAAAUCCCUCGGCUUAACCGGGGAAUUGCGUCUGAUACUGGAUGGCUUGAGUUUGGGAGAGGGAUGCGGAAUUCCAGGUGUAGCGGUGAAAUGCGUAGAUAUCUGGAGGAACACCGGUGGCGAAGGCGGCAUUCUGGACCAAUAUUGACGCUGAGGAGCGAAAGCCAGGGGAGCAAACGGGA